rnacentral:rRNA from 2 species
GAUAAGUGCUGAAAGCAUCUAAGCACGAAACUUGCCCCGAGAUGAGUUCUCCCUGAGACUUUAAGUCUCCUGAAGGAACGUUGAAGACGACGACGUUGAUAGGCCGGGUGUGUAAGCGCAGCGAUGCGUUGAGCUAACCGGUACUAAUGAACCGUGAGGCUUAACCUUACAACGCCGAAG